rnacentral:rRNA from 1 species
CCUACGGGCGGCAGCAGUGGGGAAUUUUGGACAAUGGGGGCAACCCUGAUCCAGCCAUGCCGCGUGCGGGAAGAAGGCCUUCGGGUUGUAAACCGCUUUUAGCCGGGAAGAAAAGGCGAGGGAUAACACCCUUCGUUCUUGACGGUACCGGCGGAAUAAGCACCGGCUAACUACGUGCCAGCAGCCGCGGUAAUACGUACGGUGCGAGCGUUAAUCGGAAUUACUGGGCGUAAUGCGUGCGCAGGAUGUGACAGCCCCGGGCUCAACCUGGAAAUGGCAUUGGAUACUGGCGGGCUUGAGUGUGGCAGAGGGGGGUGGAAUUCCGCGUGUAGCAGUGAAAUGCGUAGAAAUGCGGAGGAACACCGAUGGCGAAGGCAGCCCCCUGGGCUGACACUGACGCUCAGGCACGAAAGCGUGGGGAGCAAACAGGAUUAGAUACCCCAGUAGUC